GGGGUCAGCACCCUCGCGUCCUCAGACCCCACAUGGGAGAUCGGGGCUCUUUACUCGAUCCCAAGUAACUUUCCAGGUAGAAGAGCUUGGAAAACCAUCCGGGGAGGGAAGCCGUGCAGACCGCCUUGUCACCGACACCCCGUUCCCUUGAGCCCAGUGGGUGCCGGCGAGCGGCGGGGCCCGGACGGAGAGCGGGGAUGGCGAAGGGCGAGGAGGCGGCGCCGGCAUUAGGCGAGACCUCAUCGCUGGAGGGAUUAGAGACAUUGAGGACGCUGAGCUGCCGCUGCCCGAGAAACUUCCACGCAGCUCAGGGAUAUUUGGGCUCCAACGCUGCAGGCUCCGGCCCCACGUCCACCGAGCAACGCUGGCAUUGGAACGGUCUCGCAGUGACAAAUCUGUCCUGGUUACAGCUGUAUUUACCCUAAUUUCAGUCUCUUUGAAGUCAUUUGUCUAGUCCCUACAGUUUCUUCCUUUGGCGUGUGGUCUUAGUGCUAACUCAGCCUUGGGAGGGCAGGUUUGAAGAAUGAUUGCAGCUUAGGAUGGAUGACAACAGAUUUAGUUAAUCCCAUGUCCUUUCUGAUUUGUUUUCAUUAAGGGGAAGUUGUACAGCUAACUUUAUUUUUUUUUUUUUUUACUGGAGGGUACGGAGCAGUUUUAUAAAUGGUUCAUUCAGAUGGACACAUAGAAUGUCCAGGAAGCACAGGUGGCUACCUCAAGGGUUGAUUGGCUUGCAUGUAUUUACUAGUCACACAGCCGGGUGUUUCCACAGGUAUGGAGGGCGCUGUGUGCCCCGGAUGAAUAUGCCUUGGCGCUGUACUUCUUCAGGAGCACAUUUGAUUUAUCACCUUGCUAUAAAUCAGGAAAUUACUAGCAUAUGUGCCCUUAAUGAUGUUUAAAUUGGUUUAUGGGCUGACACACUUAACCAGUUUUAAUACACAAAUAAUUUAUAAACCAUGUUUGUCCUUGAUUAAGAAAAACAUUUUCUCCUGUUUGGACUCUCCAUUUCUAGGGCAGCUGUGGAAAUGUAGAUGUCUCCAACUUUCAUUUGCAAGCAACAAUCCAAACGAAAUUCCUAGAGUUUUGCUGAAAUAAAAUAAUCCUAUGGUAGCCAUGGUAACAAAUAGAUUAAGGGUUAUUGGUUUUUAUCUGUAUGUGAUGGGGGGCCAGUGUUGCCUCUUUAAUUAUGUUCCUAAUGAGUGAUAGUCAUAUUUCAGAUACUCAGUGCAGGAGGUAAGCCAAACCAGAAUUUAGUUUUAUAAGAGGUUAUUGGAAUAAAAACUCACUGGAGCGCAAGAGAAUGAUUUCUGUUAACUGCAGCUCCUCAUACCCUGACAGCAAAUGGAUAAAGCCUUUUUUGUUUUUUCAAGUAGAUGAGAAUUGAGUCAGCUCCUUUAAGAUUAGAAAAUGCAUUUUGCCUAUAAGCUAUUACCAAAGGAGCCUUUACAUCCGUC
rnacentral:lncRNA from 1 species